AGAUAUUUGUUUAUGUUUUUUAUUUAAUUCGUAUUGUCUAUUUUAUCUAGAAUGUUGUCCACUAAGCUAAUGAUGGGGAUCGUAGCACUACCCUGUUCGUCCCAUCAGAGAAGUUUCUUGAGAAGCAACUACAAGAGACUUGUAUGAAUGGGCAGAUUUGAAGUGUUUUUAACUGACCACCCCAUCAUUGCCUGCUGUUGGAGACUGAACACUUGAUUGAAAAUUGAUGGGGUGUAGCAAUCAGUGGGUGUCCUCAUUUGCCCUGAGAAGAGUCAGAGAACACCCUGGGCCUCAUGAGAUGGUGACACCCUGCAGUAGGAGCAGUUCCUACCAGUAUCUCUUAAAAGCAAUCAGAGGUACUCAUAGCAUCUGAUCCAUUUCUGGAGAAAAACUUUUGUAUGGAGCUGGGUAGCAGUUACUUGAGAUGUCUGGCUGAUUGAUGAGGAUAAUUGUCCUGCGACUCUGACAUUCUGUAGGGCUUGGAUAUAGCUCUAUUGCUGUAGAAAAUGUCAGGACGGUGGAGAUUUAGAUAAGUGGUGUGAUGUUAUUGAUGGUAAACAGAAGACUGUGACCUUGAAUCUGAAGAUCUGUGAUGAAGACUAGACGUUUGGGGUCACUCUAUGUUACAGUACUACAAAUCUAACAGUGACCCACUCAGCCACAAAGAGGUUGUCUCUGAUGUCCACACAUAAACCCCAUGGAGACUCUAAAUCACAGUGAAUGUAACGGAGGAACUGUCCGUCCUGAUCUAGGAUGUGGAUACGGUGAUUGUUAAAGUCUGCUGUCAGGAUGUGACUCUGGCUGUCUGUAGUGAUGCCGAAUGGAGUAAAUGAUUGCUUGGUAUUAGAGGGAUGACCAGUGUAUCUA